rnacentral:tRNA from 9 species
GACUUAAAAUCCGUUGGCUUUUUAGACCGUGAGGGUUCAAGUCCCUCUACCCCC